AUUGAACGCUGGCGGCAGGCCUAACACAUGCAAGUCGAGCGGAUGAAGGGAGCUUGCUCCUGGAUUCAGCGGCGGACGGGUGAGUAAUGCCUAGGAAUCUGCCUGGUAGUGGGGGAUAACGUCCGGACACGGGCGCUAAUACCGCAUACGUCCAGAGGGAGAAAGGGGGGGAUCUUCGGACCUCACGCUCUCAGAUGAGCCUAGGUCGGAUUAGCUAGUUGGUGGGGUAAAGGCCUACCAAGGCGACGAUCCGUAGCUGGUCUGAGAGGAUGAUCAGUCACACUGGAACUGAGACACGGUCCAGACUCCUACGGGAGGCAGCAGUGGGGAAUAUUGGACAAUGGGCGAAAGCCUGAUCCAGCCAUGCCGCGUGUGUGAAGAAGGUCUUCGGAUUGUAAAGCACUUUUAGUUGGGAGGAAGGGCAGUAAGUUAAUACCUUGCUGUUUUGACGUUACCAACAGAAUAAGCACCGGCUAACUUCGUG
rnacentral:rRNA from 1 species